UACGUAGGGGGCAAGCGUUGUCCGGAUUUAUUGGGCGUAAAGCGCUCGCAGGCGGCUCGAUGCGUCGUGCGUGAAACACCCCGGCUCAACUGGGGAGGGUCGUGCGAUACGGUCGGGCUGGAGGCCAGUAGGGGGAUGCGGAAUUCCGGGUGUAGUGGUGGAAUGCGUAGAGAUCCGGAGGAACACCAGCGGCGAAGGCGGCAUCCUGGCCUGUUCUUGACGCUGAGGCGCGAAAGCUAGGGGAGCAAACGGG
rnacentral:rRNA from 1 species